AACUUUUUAGCUCACCUGGCCUAAAAGGCCAUGUGAGCUUUUCUCAUCACUUGGCGUCCGUCGUCGUUAACAAUUUUUCAAACAUCUUCUCCUCUGAAACUACUGAAUAGAUUUGAAUGAAACUUAAAAUGAUUGUUCCUUAGAUUAUCCUGCACAAAGUGUGUGCUUCUAUUUUUGAUCUGUCAAAAAACAUGGCCGCCGUUACUUAAAAUAGAACAUAGGGG
rnacentral:lncRNA from 1 species